ensembl:lncRNA
AUUUGUUUCACAUUUAUGGCAUGCAGUGGAGCAAUGGGAAGAGGAAAUAAUCCUUCAGCCCACCUUCCUGGUUCCUCACGUGUCAGCACUGUGAAGAUGCACUCAAGUGGUUCUGGAAAACCAAAAGCUCUGGACCUACCCCUCCUGCAGCUCCACAGCUGGAUGAUGGCUCUUGAGAGACUUUAGAGGAAUUUGCCAUUUGGAAAAAGGAAAAAAGAAGAACGUUUAAUUAGAGAUGGAGCUAAAGCAGAUAAUUUGAUCUUCCAAUGGAAAACAGAAUUACAGGUUAAAAAUGAAGAUUAUACACUCUGGGUGAAGAAUGCUCCCUCAUUUCAGGAGCACAAGUGGAAGGAAAGGAAAGGAAGAACGAGGACUGGCCCUUGGCCCUUUGAUCAGUGAUGAAGUCGCUUGCCUCCAGCGGUGAACGUGGUCCAUCCACCACUGAUGAAAUCAGAUGGACAUGGAGUCCUGGCCUGAAGCAGAGCCUGUUGUGCUCCCGGGUUCCUCUCUCUGCACAUUCACCUCUGGGGCGAGCCCAGGACAUUGCCAGGGGUCAGCUGGGGGGGAGCCAAGUGUUUGGCCGG